AUUGGAACCAAAAGAAUCAUUUAAAAUAGAAGUAUAGCUAGUUCUCUGCAUGGUAGCCUAUAGUGUAGUGCACUAUGCCAAUCAGAUGUCUGCACUAAGUUCAGCACCAAUAUACUGACCUCCCAGGAGUGGAGGACUACAGAUUGCCUAAGGAGAGGUGAACAGGCACAGUUGCAAAUGAAGCAGGUCAAAACUCCCAUGCUGAUCAGUAGUGCCUAUGAAUUGCUACUGCAUUCCAGCCUGGGCAGCAUAACUCUAAAUUCA
rnacentral:SRP_RNA from 1 species